rnacentral:rRNA from 1 species
GAUGAACGCUAGCGGCAGGCUUAAUACAUGCAAGUCGAGGGGCAGCAUGAUUGUAGCAAUACAAUUGAUGGCGACCGGCAAACGGGUGCGGAACACGUACACAACCUUCCAAUAAGUGGGGAAUAGCCCAGAGAAAUUUGGAUUAAUACCCCGUAACAUAACGAUGUGGCAUCACAUUGUUAUUAUAGAUUUUUCGCUUAUUGAUGGGUGUGCGGCUGAUUAGAUAGUUGGCGGGGUAACGGCCCACCAAGUCUACGAUCAGUAGCUGAUGUGAGAGCAUGAUCAGCCACACGGGCACUGAGACACGGGCCCGACUCCUACGGGAGGCAGCAGUAAGGAAUAUUGGACAAUGGACGCAAGUCUGAUCCAGCCAUGCUGCGUGAAGGAUUAAGGUCCUCUGGAUUGUAAACUUCUUUUAUAAGGGACGAAAAAAGGCUUUUCUAAGUCGUCUGACGGUACCUUAUGAAUAAGCACCGGCUAACUCCGUGCCAGCCGCCGCUGUAAGAC